GCUUUGGUGGGGUAGUGGUAACCUGGGUCGUUGCCACGCGCUUUAACAGCGGUCGAAAAUUCGACCCGCCGGGGGGUUCGAUUCCCUCCCAAAGCA